rnacentral:rRNA from 1 species
AUGUCAAUUGUGCCUGCCGAAUGGACCGAUGAGAACACUCGAAUUAUCGUCGAGUUGUUUGUGAAAAAAGUGAGGGCUAGAAAUAUGCCAAACACUCAUUUGACACCCAAUGCAUAUGAUGAGGUGGCAAAGGAGUUCUUGAUGAGAACUGGACUUGAUUACACGCAAAAGCAAGUGAGAAACAAAUGGGACAAGUUAAAAUGUGAGUACAACACAUUCAAGAAGCUCAAGUUGCAUGAGACUGGAGGGGGUGGGACUUUGAGAAAAACACGGUGA